rnacentral:rRNA from 1 species
CCUACGGGAUCUGCAGUGGGGAAUAUUGGACAAUGGGCGAAAGCCUGAUCCAGCCAUGCCGCGUGUGUGAAGAAGGCCUUCGGGUUGUAAAGCACUUUCAGUGGGGAAGAAAGCCUUGGGGCUAAUACCCUCGAGGAAGGACAUCACCCACAGAAGAAGCACCGGCUAACUCCGUGCCAGCAGCCGCGGUAAUACGGAGGGUGCGAGCGUUAAUCGGAAUUACUGGGCGUAAAGCGCGCGUAGGCGGUCUGAUAAGCCGGUUGUGAAAGCCCCGGGCUCAACCUGGGAACGGCAUCCGGAACUGUCAGGCUAGAGUGCAGGAGAGGAAGGUAGAAUUCCCGGUGUAGCGGUGAAAUGCGUAGAGAUCGGGAGGAAUACCAGUGGCGAAGGCGGCCUUCUGGACUGACACUGACGCUGAGGUGCGAAAGCGUGGGUAGCAAACAGGAUUAGAUACCCCGGUAGUC